UGCUAGCCUCACGUUACUGUGGGAGCUAGGUGGUUUCAAAAUGGCUUUCAUGUCUCUGCUUUACAUCGCAGCAUGAUGCACAGACGCACGCCAAGUCUUGAUUUAAAGACUCGAGUCGUUCCGGGCACGUGUGUGUCCUGCUGCUGACAGCCUUGGAGCCACAGGUGCUGUUCACUUCACUCCUAAGAGAGUGCGGUUUCAACAGCAAAGUUGCUGAUGCAAAUGGGGCAGAAUGAAAAGCUUGGGAAUAAAUUAAUAAAUUAACUCAGUGGCCUCAACAUUUGUCAUCCUGCUAUGCAGCAAACCCUGUUUAUUUAAAUCACUCAUCACUGAUCACACCUCAGAUUCCUGGGAGGUAGGUGAGCUCUGCUAUAGUCAUCUUAUGGACAUUGCCUGGCCCAUUGCCUCCCAGCCAGAGAGGAGCAAACCCAUCAUUUCUGCAGCAUUUAGUUUAAACUGUGUCUCUAUCUGAUCAAUAGAGGCUGUGACAACACUCAGAGUACUCGAGCUUUGUCUGUUAGGCCUGGUUUUGGCCAAAAGUAAAACUGGGCCCACCAAAACGUGAGUAAUCUGCUGAUUGAACCGGGUAAAUCUAUGGACUAGAACCAUUUAUCUUAAAUAACCAGGACAAGCCCAUAUUCUGCAAAUAA